UACGUAGGAGACGAGCGUUGUCCGGAGUUACUGGGCGUAAAGGGUGCGCAGGUGGCGGCGCGCGUGGGGGGUGAAAUCGCCCGGCUUAACUGGGCGGGGGCCUUCCAGACGGCGUGGCUUGAGCAGCGGAGGGGGACGUGGAAUUCCGGGUGGAGCGGUGAAAUGCGUAGAUAUCAGGAGGAACACCGGUGGUGUAGACGGCUUUCUGGACCGUAACUGACGCUGAGACACGAAAGCGUGGGUAGCAAACAGG
rnacentral:rRNA from 1 species